UACGGAGGGUGCGAGCGUUGUCCGGAAUUACUGGGCGUAAAGGGCGCGUAGGCGGUUCGUUAAGUUGCUGGUGAAAUCCCGGGGCUCAACUCCGGGGCUGCCGGCAAGACUGGCGGGCUUGAGCACGGUAGAGGCAGAUGGAAUUCCCGGUGUAGCGGUGGAAUGCGUAGAUAUCGGGAAGAAUACCGGUGGCGAAGGCGUUCUGCUGGGGCGUUGCUGACGCUGAGGCGCGACAGCGUGGGGGGCAAACAGG
rnacentral:rRNA from 1 species